rnacentral:ncRNA from 2 species
CACGAUCUUUGGGGCAAGGUGACCCCGGUUUUGCCGGGGGAUUCCUGACCGGCGGUGAAAGCCCGCGAGUCCCGGUAAACGGGACAGAACCGGUGAAAUUCCGGUGCCGACGGUACAGUCCGGAUGGGAAAAGAUCGCC